GAUGAACGCUGGCGGCGUGCCUAAUACAUGCAAGUCGAGCGAACAGACGAGGAGCUUGCUCCUUUGACGUUAGCGGCGGACGGGUGAGUAACACGUGGGUAACCUACCUAUAAGACUGGGAUAACUUCGGGAAACCGGAGCUACUACCGGAUAAUAUUUCGAACCGCAUGGUUCGAUAGUGAAAGAUGGCUUUGCUAUCACUUAUAGAUGGACCUGCGCCGUUUUAGCUAGUUGGUAAGGUAACGGCUUACCAAGGCAACGAUACGUAGCCGACCUGAGAGGGUGAUCGGCCACACUGGAACUGAGACACGGUCCAGACUCCUACGGGAGGCAGCAGUAGGGAAUCUUCCGCAAUGGGCGAAAGCCUGACGGAGCAACGCCGCGUGAGUGAUGAAGGUCUUCGGAUCGUAAAACUCUGUUAUUAGGGAAGAACAAACGUGUAAGUAACUGUGCACGUCUUGACGGUACCUAAUCAGAAAGCCACGGCUAACUACGUG
rnacentral:rRNA from 1 species